CGCGCGGCGGGUCCCACGCGUAGCUCACGCCCGCUGGGACCUCGUGCCACCCCGAACCCAAGCGGCCGGGGGCCGUCGGGCGCUGGGCCGGGUUGGCGCGGAGACCUGGAGACUUGGGAAUCUCUGAAUAUACAGCACUGUCCUUCUGUGCUGGUCCCCACAUGUAGCCUGCAGUGGCCAGCUGGGUGCAUGGCUGGGCCAGGGGACCUGGAGGCGGCGGUCGACACGGAGCACGGGCAAGAAGGCUGGGGGCACGCUGGUUGGAGGGCCCAGACCUAGCCACGUCUCAGAAGCCACAUCUCACCAACUGCCCAAGAGGAGUGGGUGUCCCAGCCAUAAUCUCAUUUGGCCCUCACCCCAGGGCCUCAGAUGACCUGUCCAACAUCCCACAGAAAACCUCGAAGCCGCCCAGACUGAUGGGCCCUGACAACAUUGGUGCCUGGGGCUCAGACCCGAUCCUGCCAGUCAGGGGCUGAGGACCGCUGGGACUGUCUCUGAGCC